rnacentral:tRNA from 1 species
UCUCUGAUAGUAUAAUGGUCAGUAUACCCGCCUGUCAAACGGCGCCUCACGCUCCUCAUAGAGCGCGGGAGACCUGGGUUCGAUUCCCAGUCAGAGAG